UUAAUUCACUAAAGGGACCCCCUAGUAAAUUUCAUAAUCUUGUGGGAGACAGACUACAAUAAACAUUGUCUCAAUAUGUUAUUAUAAAUUGGUUAUAUUGGUUAUCCUUAAAGUUUAAAUUCUAAAUAUGUUACUGAUGGGUCUUCCAAUGGUAUUACAGCAUAUGUUAUUCAGGAAAGCCACAGAUUGUUCAUACAGCCCCCGCCUCCGCUCAGAUUGUUGAGCUUUGUGCCGUCGCUACGGUGUUUGAACUUUUGGCCCAUUAUUCUUUCAAUUUGUAUACAGAUAGUCAUUAUAUUGUUAAAGCUUUACAGGUGCUUGAAACAGUUGCUUAUAUUGAUGCUGCCAAUAAUCAAAUACAGGAGCUCUUUGCUCAAAUACAACGGUGCAUACACGCCCGGACCUGUCCUUGUUAUGUGGGUCACAUUAGGGCUCAUUCUGGACUUCCCGGACCCCUGGCGAAGGGAAAUGAUCUUGCAGAUCAGGCUACAUGGCUGGUAGCUUUCAGUCAAUUAGAAUUAGCUCAGCAGCCUCACUCUCUACAUCAUCAAAAUAGCCAAAGCUUAAGAAAACAAUUCCAUAUAACUCGAGAAGCUGCUCGACAAGUAGUUAAGCAAUGUUCUGCCUGUCCUACACACCAUUCUGUCCCUCAUUAUGGGGUAAAUCCCCGUGGCCUUAAACCUAAUCAGCUAUGGCAAAUGGAUAUUACCCAUAUUGCUGAAUUUGGAAAACAAAUACAUACAUGUAAGUAUUGAUACCUUUUCAGGAUUUAUUGUGGCCACUGCACAAACUGGAGAAGCUACAAAACAUGCAAUAGCCCAUUGCUUAAAAUGCUCUGCCACAAUUGGAGUCCCUACCAUUCUUAAAACUGACAAUGGCACAGGAUAUACUAGUAAAGCUUUUCAAAUCUUUUGCAGACAGAUGGGUAUCACCCAUAAAACAGGUAUUCCUUAUAACCCACAAGGCCAAGGGAUUGUGGAAAGAGCCCAUGGUGCUCUAAAAAAAUCAAUUGCACAAAAUAAAAAAGGGGGAGUUAUACCCUUUAUCCCCACAAAAUUAUUUACAUCAUGCUCUCUUCACCUUGAACUUUCUGAUUGUGGAUGCUCAUGGAAUGACUGCAGCAGAACGGCUGUGGCAUCCUAAAACUAAAUCAUCAUAUGCUCAAGUGAGGUGGAAAGAUCCCCUCACGGGUGUAUGGAAUGGCCCCGACCCGGUAUUAAUAUGGGGACGAGGGCAUGUUUGUGUUUUUCCACAGGACGCUGAAGGUGCCAGGUGGCCGCCUGAAAGAUUGGUCCAUUUCGCGGGGAAUUCUCCUGCCCCUCAGGAUGAUUCUGACAACUGUCCUGCUGAUGAAUCUAAUGAUGAUGCUUAAUGGGGAAGUUUAUUGGACUUAUGUACCUGAUCCACCUGUGGCAGCCCCUGACAAGAACGAGGUUCGAUCGUUCAACUAUACGGGAUCACUGGAGUCCAUCUACAUCUACCUUGCUACUACAGAUGUUUAUGCAUUCUUUGAUGAGGAUGGCUGGAAGUAUUCAUGAUCCACAAUUACAUGCUACACCACCUAAGCCUAAGGUGUUAUCCCCUGCAGAGGCUGGUAGUCAAUGACGGGUAAGAGGAGUACAGAAAAUCACCAACCUAAGACAGAGCGAGAAUACCGUGACAUUCUUGACUCGAUGACGGGUACUGUUCAACAGGUGAUGGUGGGCUCCGUCAUCAUAAUAUCUCAGAGGCAUUUGCCUAAGAUGUAACAGCCCCCAAUGGAAUGAUGAGGAUGGACUGUAGUGUUCAACCUCACUCACAGAAACUUCUGAGCCAGUCAGAGAAACCCCACAGCAUUCCACUUAAAUGAGCUAUUGCCAUGUUGUAAAUCAAAGAUGUGGGCAUUGAGUCUCCUCUUAAGGUACCACAGAAGCAGACCAGAGGGCAGUGGACUCUGCUGGUGGUCAUGCUGAGGGAUCUCAGAGGAAGCCAUGUGUGAGAUUUCCAGGUGGUGAAGCAGGUGAUCAUGCCAGAAGAACCUUCAUAAGCUACUGUCUAGAAGUGGUGUAGAUAUGACAUCCUAACAAGAGCAGAACAAGCAUACAAGCUGAUGCUGAUGGGGGACAUGGGUGAGGCAGAAUAUAUCCAGCCUCUGGAGGACACCUCUGGUCAUUACUUGGCCUACACUUGUGACUGGGUUGACAGAGCUCAAGACAGUUGGGUCGAGUCCAAACACAGCCAGGGAAAAUUUCUUGCCUGGACACCCUGUAAGCCAUAGGAAAAACCUCUCAGAGACAACAUUGUCAUCACCAUGGCCAGCGCAGGUUCCACAGAAAAUGAAAGCUUCAUCCAGGAUGUCCUUGAGUGUUUCUGGUACACAGUGAGCAGAGAGGAUCUGCAGCAUCUGGUGACUGAAGAUGAAGCCUGGGAGAUGGUCCGGGCAGAGGCAGGAUUGGGCAGGGCUGAGGCUGACGAGUUACAUGAGGCUCUGAAGGGGCUUGCAGCUGACAUGCCAGAGGUGGA